rnacentral:sRNA from 1 species
GCGGACAUUGCAAGUACAUGGGUAGAGGAUUUUAGUGAUUUAAGAAAUUCUUUUUGACUGACACCAAAAUGCUGUUCUUCAUCGAUUAUUAACAAUUUCAAAUUAAAGAAUUUUGUAUUUUUAUGUAAUAAAGCAUGAGUUCCUAUUAUUAUAUUUAUUUUACCGCUUGCAAGCUCCAAUCUGAUAAUAUUUGCUUCUUUAGAACUAAUAACGCUGGAUAAUUGUUUAAUGUUUAAACCAAACCCUUUGAAUCUUUC